CAGUAGCCGCGGUAAAACGGAGGAUCCAAGCGUUAUCCGGAAUCAUUGGGUUUAAAGGGUCCGUAGGCGGUCUUGUAAGUCAGUGGUGAAAGCCCAUCGCUCAACGGUGGAACGGCCAUUGAUACUGCAGGACUUGAAUUAUUGGGAAGUAACUAGAAUAUGUAGUGUAGCGGUGAAAUGCUUAGAGAUUACAUGGAAUACCAAUUGCGAAGGCAGGUUACUACCAAUUGAUUGACGCUGAUGGACGAAAGCGUGGGUAGCGAACAGGAUUAGAUACCCCCGUAGUCCCUGUCUCUUAUAC
rnacentral:rRNA from 1 species